rnacentral:tmRNA from 2 species
GGGGAUGUAAAGGUUUCGACAGGGUUGUAGAUACUUAAGGAGCGAGCCGUGGCGGGAACCACGUUAAAAGCCCGACUUUAAAAUUAAACGCUAACAAUAAUAGAGUAGCUUUAGCUGCCUAAUCGUUGCAGCUUGUCCGCCCGGGCUUACCGCAGGCUCGGAACCGGGCAUUAUCGAUGCGGUGAACGUGCGGCGGGAAAGCUUUGCCCCGCCCAUGAAUAUAUGAAGCUACCGAGCGCAGCGGUUUGUCAAUGAGCCGCCGUGUGAGGGAAUUUUAAUCAUUGACUACGCUCGUAGCGCCUUUUGGGGAUACUUCUUUGGACAGGGGUUCGAUUCCCCUCAUCUCCACCA